rnacentral:rRNA from 1 species
CGCGGUAUUUUGACUGUGCGAAGGUAGCAUAAUCAUUUGUCUUUUAAUUGAAGACUUGUAUGAAUGGCUGAACGAGAAAAUAACUGUCUCUUUAAAAAAUCUUGAAUUUUACUUUUAAGUGAAAAGGCUUAAAUAAUUUUAAAGGACGAUAAGACCCUAUAAAUCUUUAUAUUAUUUUUCUUUAACUUUCAAAUUAUAUAUUAAAAGAAAUAAAAGAAAAAAAUAUUAUAUUGGGGAGAUAAAAAUAUAAUUUUUUUUUAACUGUUUUAUAUAUAAAACAAUAAUUUUUGAUUUAUUAAAAAUUGAUCCUUUUUAAAGAUUUUAAGAUUAAGUUACUUUAGGGAUAACAGCGUAAUUUUUUUUGAGAGUUCUUAUCGAAAAAAAAGUUUGCGACCUCGAUGUUGAAUUAAAAAUACCCUUAUAAGUGCAGAAGCUAUAAAGGAAAGUCUGUUCGACUUUUAAAAUUUUACAU